UGCGUCCUGGUCGGAUGCGGA
rnacentral:snRNA from 1 species